GUGGGGAAUUUUGGACAAUGGGCGAAAGCCUGAUCCAGCCAUUCCGCGUGCAGGAUGAAGGCCCUCGGGUUGUAAACUGCUUUUGUACAGAACGAAAAAGCUCCGGCUAAUACCUGGAGUCCAUGACGGUACUGUAAGAAUAAGCACCGGCUAACUACGUGCCAGCAGCCGCGGUAAUACGUAGGGUGCAAGCGUUAAUCGGAAUUACUGGGCGUAAAGCGUGCGCAGGCGGUUUUGUAAGACAGAGGUGAAAUCCCCGGGCUCAACCUGGGAACUGCCUUUGUGACUGCACGGCUGGAGUGCGGCAGAGGGGGAUGGAAUUCCGCGUGUAGCAGUGAAAUGCGUAGAUAUGCGGAGGAACACCGAUGGCGAAGGCAAUCCCCUGGGCCUACACUGACGCUCAUGCACGAAAGCGUGGGGAGCAAACAGGAUUAGAAACCCUGGUAGUCC
rnacentral:rRNA from 1 species